GUCACCACAGAGCAUCGAGUAGAGUUCCCUGUGCUAUACAGUACCAGAUGUGUAGAUGAGUAAGUCUUCUGAUGAUUCCCACACCAGCAUUGUCUGCAAUUGUGGACAGAUUCCAAACAAAACUGCCUAGCUGACCUCACCCAAUCACCCAAACAAUGAGAGGUAACUGCAGAAAUGAGUAUUUCAAGCUAUUUAACAAUUUCUAUUCAUCUGCAUCUAUCCCUUGGAAAUACGAAGGCCACAAAUACAGUAAGUCCCCUACAUACGAACCUUCAAGUUCCGAACUUUCAAAGAGGCGAACGUGCAUCUGGCUCCUUGUUGGAACUGUGCCAUCAGUGUCAGGCGUGAGUGAAACUGCAGCUUGCCUUCCGUCUCCUUUUGCUGACGAUCCUUCAGCUCUACCAUCUCCCACCUCCUCCCUCCUCCAGUCAGUAGCUGUUCUUGCCCGUUCA